rnacentral:lncRNA from 1 species
ACAACAACAUUGAUUAGAUAUUAAGUGUUAGAUCCCCAAUGAAAUAAGGGAAGUUGGAUACAUUGAGUAGUUGUAUUCGGUUGGGUUCUGGCUAAGGAUAAGACUUGGUCGACCAUGUCCUUUACGGUCCACCUCUCUUACCUGGGAAGUCAACCAUACAUUAUUCACUGUAUAAACUGAACUAGUUAUAUAGAGACAAGGAUCACACCAAGGAGAAAUAGACAAGACAUUUAAUGGAUUUGGUACUCAACUGAAGUAAUGAGAUAAUAACUAUGACCUGAAAGGUUAAUACGAUAUUUCCCAAAUAUUAACUAAAUACUUAUAGUUGAGCGUUGCUACAA